rnacentral:lncRNA from 10 species
CUCUCGGCUGGCGCCCGGCGGGGCUCCGGGGCUCCGGGGCUCCGGGGCUCCUCUCCCGCCGCCCGGCUCCCCUCGGCCCACGGCAGGGCCCCGGUGUCCUGGGCUGGCAGCGAAGCUCGGAGCUCUGGGCGUGCGGCGGCUGCGGUGGCUCCUGGGCUCCUCCGUCCAACCCGGGCCGCGGAGCCUCUACGCGCACCCCAUCCCCCUCCCGGCUGCGGAGUCUGGCGGCGGCGGGGACUGCUCGGGACCCGGACCCCCGGCGCCUUUCGUCCCCUGUCCCCAUUGUGACCUGUCUCUUGGCCCCGGAGCCCUCCCGCCCCACCCGCGCCGGGGUCUCCAGCGCGAAGGGCUCAGUCUCUGGUGUCCCCGGCCUGGGGCUGGCAAGCUGGGAAACAUUUUCCUGGGCAUCUAAAAGUAUUGUGGACCUGAGACACUGUGCUUACAGGGCCUACUGGGUUGAUUCUAAAGAAGAAAGAAAAUCUAUAUGCAUGAAAAGAUGUCUUAAAAAGUUUUGAACUACUCAAAGUUAAGAUUUGGGGAAAUAGAAAUAGUAUAUAACUUAAGAAAAUUGCCACUGGCUGUGAACCCCCAUGGCAUUUUCUUUGCACUUUUUUGCUUCUCGUUAGAUUGUAUGUGUUUUUACCAUUUCACACAAACUUUUAAAGAUUAUUCCACGCCGUUAGCUCUGUGCUUCUAUUAGUGUCUCUAUCUCUCUUUCUCUCUCUCUUCCAUCUGAGUACAAUGGCUAGAAAAUAAUACACACUUGAAUGAAUAAAUGUCAUUUAAAUAUUUUAAUAAACAGAAGGAAUAGUACAAUAUAUUUCCCUUGACCAAUGUAUUGUGAUUGCUUUUUUCUUUCUUUUUUUUUAAAUCUUUUGCU